rnacentral:miRNA from 12 species
GGUGCUGCAGCCCUUCCUCCUCCUCUUCCUCUUCCCCAGGGUGGGCUGACAAUUGCAGAAUCAGAAACCCUGUGGUGGCCACACAUCUGCUGCCCUCGUGCAUCUUGGGGUGCCCCGUUCUUCCUCAGCCCAAAUC